rnacentral:lncRNA from 1 species
GAUAAAACAGUAAAGAAAGACUUCCCAGAUGGUGGGGAGCAAGAUUAUGAUAACCCCUUCACAAUCAUUAAGACACUCUCUAUAAUGAAUUUGGGAUAAAGUACAGGUGGAUUAUGCACUUGAAAAUGUUUUAUUUGCUUUCUUCUGUAACUCCUUUGAUAGCCUGCAACCUGGAUACAUCAACAUGAUGUGUGAGAUGCCACAACUGAGAUGUGAUUCAUUUCCAUGUAGACACACU